rnacentral:tRNA from 1 species
GGAGAGGUGUCCGAGUGGUUGAAGGUGCUGCUCUCGAAAAGCAGUGAGGUGACGAGCCUCCGUGGGUUCGAAUCCCACCCUCUCCG